rnacentral:rRNA from 1 species
UGAACGCUGGCGGUGUGCCUAAUACAUGCAAGUCGAGCGAACAGACGAGGAGCUUGCUCCUCUGACGUUAGCGGCGGACGGGUGAGUAACACGUGGAUAACCUACCUAUAAGACUGGGAUAACUUCGGGAAACCGGAGCUAAUACCGGAUAAUAUAUUGAACCGCAUGGUUCAAUAGUGAAAGACGGUUUUGCUGUCACUUAUAGAUGGAUCCGCGCCGCAUUAGCUAGUUGGUAAGGUAACGGCUUACCAAGGCAACGAUGCGUAGCCGACCUGAGAGGGUGAUCGGCCACACUGGAACUGAGACACGGUCCAGACUCCUACGGGAGGCAGCAGUAGGGAAUCUUCCGCAAUGGGCGAAAGCCUGACGGAGCAACGCCGCGUGAGUGAUGAAGGUCUUCGGAUCGUAAAACUCUGUUAUUAGGGAAGAACAAAUGUGUAAGUAACUAUGCACGUAUUGACGGUACCUAAUCAGAAAGCCACGGCUAACUACGUG